rnacentral:rRNA from 1 species
GAUGAACGCUGGCGGCGUGCCUAAUACAUGCAAGUCGAGCGAACGGACGAGAAGCUUGCUUCUCUGAUGUUAGCGGCGGACAGGUGAGUAACACGUGGAUAACCUACCUAUAAGACUGGGAUAACUUCGGGAAACCGGAGCUAAUACCGGAUGAUAUUUUGAACCGCAUGGUUCAAAAGUGAAAGACGGUCUUGCUGUCACUUCUAGAUGGAUCCGCGCUGCAUUAGCUAGUUGGUAAGGUAACGGCUUACCAAGGCAACGAUGCCUAGCCGACCUGCGAGGGUGAUCGGCCACACGGGAACUGGGACACGGUCCAGACUCCUACGGGAGGCACCAGUAGGGAAUCUUCCGCAAAGGGCGAAAGCCUGACGGAGCAAGGCCGCGUGAGUGAUGAAGGUCUUCGGAUCGUAAAGCUCUGUUAUUAGGGAAGAACAUAUGUGUAAGUAACUGUGCACAUCUUGACGGUACCUAAUCAGAAAGCCACGGCUAACUACGUG